rnacentral:lncRNA from 1 species
UUCUGCCAUGGUGGAUUGAGGGAUCUCAGGAGGCAGCUUGACUCCAUUUGAAUCCCAUUCCCUGCUAUUAGCUCAGCCCAGACAAAGGAAUAACUUACUGCAGGAAAUAUUCAAAUAAAGUCCCACAAUCCACUCUCACCGCCGUUUCCUCCCCACUCCUUUUCAGAAAGGUGAGGGCUGCGGCUUAAAAG